CCAAUAGCGUAUAUUAAAGUUGUUGCGGUUAAAAAGCUCGUAGUUGAAUUUCGGGAUCAUCAGGUUGGUCGUGCCUCUGGUAUGUACUGAUUUCGAUGGUCCCUCCUUCUUGAAGAGCCGUAAUGCCAUUAAUUUGGUGUUGCGGGGAAUCAGGACUGUUACUUUGAAAAAAUUAGAGUGUUUAAAGCAGGCAAUCGCUUGAAUACAUUAGCAUGGAAUAAUGAAAUAGGACGUUCGAUCCUAUUUUGUUGGUUUCUAGGAUUGACGUAAUGAUUAAUAGGGAUAGUUGGGGGCAUUAGUAUUCAAUUGUCAGAGGUGAAAUUCUUGGAUUUAUUGAAGACUAACUACUGCGAAAGCAUUUGCCAAGGAUGUUUUCAUUAAUCAAGAACGAAAGUUAGGGGAUCGAAGACGAUCAGAUACCGUCGUAGUCUUAACCAUAAACUAUGCCGACUAGGGAUCGGAUGAUGUUAAUUUUUUAAUGACUCAUUCGGCGCCUUACG
rnacentral:rRNA from 1 species